rnacentral:rRNA from 1 species
AUUGAACGCUGGCGGCAUGCCUUACACAUGCAAGUCGAAACGGCAGCACGGGAGCAAUCCUGGUGGCGAGUGGCGAACGGGUGAGUAAUAUAUCGGAACGUGCCCAGUCGUGGGGGAUAACGUAGCGAAAGCUACGCUAAUACCGCAUACGAUCUAUGGAUGAAAGCGGGGGAUCGCAAGACCUCGCGCGAUUGGAGCGGCCGAUAUCAGAUUAGGUAGUUGGUGAGGUAAAGGCUCACCAAGCCGACGAUCUGUAGCUGGUCUGAGAGGACGACCAGCCACACUGGGACUGAGACACGGCCCAGACUCCUACGGGAGACAGCAGUGGGAAUUUUGGACAAUGGGCGCAAGCCUGAUCCAGCAAUGCCGCGUGCAGGAUGAAGGCCUUCGGGUUGUAAACUGCUUUUGUACGGAACGAAACGGUGAGCUCUAAUACAGUUUGCUAAUGACGGUACCGUAAGAAUAAGCACCGGCUAACUACGUG